GGCUAGGGUUUGAAGGUUAUUUCUUAGAGAAGAAUUAGGAGUUGUAAAGGAAUAGGAGUCUUGAGUAGGAGUCCUAUUAGGAGUCUUGAGUAGGAGUCUUAAUUGAGUAGGAGUCUUAAGUAGGAGUCAUAUUAGGAGUUAGGGUUUAGAAAACCUAUAAAUAGCUAUGUAUUCAUCCUCUUUUGAUAAGCAAUAGAUGAAUCUUUUCUGCAGCCUUUGAGCAGCAAUUUGGAGGGAGGAACCCCUAUAGAGUUCCAAGGAGG
rnacentral:lncRNA from 1 species